rnacentral:rRNA from 1 species
UGAGGAAUAUUGGUCAAUGGGCGCAAGCCUGAACCAGCCAAGUCGCGUGAGGGAAGACGGUCCUAUGGAUUGUAAACCUCUUUUGUCAGGGAGCAAGCGCGGGACGCGUCCCGUCGUUGAGAGUACCUGAAGAAAAAGCAUCGGCUAACUCCGUGCCAGCAGCCGCGGUAAUACGGAGGAUGCGAGCGUUAUCCGGAUUUAUUGGGUUUAAAGGGUGCGUAGGCGGACCGUUAAGUCAGUGGUAAAAUUGAGAGGCUCAACCUCUUCCGGCCAUUGAAACUGGCGGACUUGAGUGAGCGAGAAGUAUGCGGAAUUCGUGGUGUAGCGGUGAAAUGCUUAGAUAUCACGAAGAACUCCGAUUGCGAAGGCAGCUUGCGGGAGUGCGACUGACGCUGAAGCUCGAAGGUG